rnacentral:rRNA from 2 species
UACGUAGGGAGCAAGCGUUGUUCGGAUUUACUGGGCGUAAAGGGCGCGUAGGCGGCGCGACAAGUCACUUGUGAAAUCUCCGGGCUUAACUCGGAACGGCCAAGUGAAACUGUCAUGCUAGAGUGCAGAAGGGGCAAUCGGAAUUCUUGGUGUAGCGGUGAAAUGCGUAGAUAUCAAGAGGAACACCUGAGGUGAAGACGGGUUGCUGGGCUGACACUGACGCUGAGGCGCGAAAGCCAGGGGAGCAAACGGG